rnacentral:SRP_RNA from 1 species
UUUUCGAUGGCAGAGGAUUGGCCAUGGCCCUGAGCUUGGGAGCUGACGGUGUCUGGGUCGGCACUCGAUUCAUCGCCAGUGUCGAGGGUGGCGCCCCCAAGAAGCACAAGGAGGAGGUCUGCAAGGCCGGCGUUCACGACACCCAUCGGGCGAGGGCAGA